AUGUUUUUUGAGAUGACCAUGUCAAUAUUCCAGGUUUUCCAAAGCCUACCAAUAUCCAGGGUUUCCAGUGGCGCCAGUGUCAAUGUCUUCCAACAACUCCAGGUCUUCCAUCAACUCCAAGUCUUCCAAAAACCUCAAAGUCUUCCAGACAAUCCUGGUCUUCCAGAAAAUCCUCGUCUCCCAAAUAAUAUAUGUCUUCCAAAAGUCUCCAAGUCUUCCAGGAAAUCCAGUCUUCCGGCAGUUAUAUGUCUUCCACAAAAUCCAGAUCUUCCAGGAAAACAUACGUCUUCCAGAAAAUCCAUGUCUUCCAGUUUUGAGGUCUUCCUGCCAAUCUACAUCUUCCAACAAUUUCAAGGUCUUCCCGCCAAUUCAUGUCUUCCAGAAAAAUCUGUGUCUUCCACCAAAUCCAAGUCUUCCAAUCAAUCUGGUUCUUCCAGAAAAGUCCAAGUCUUCCAAACAAUGUCUUCCAGAAAGAAAUCCAGGUCUUCCAGGCAGCCCAUGUCUUCCAGAAAAAUCUACGUCUUCCUCCAAAUCCAAGUUUUCCAAUCAAUGUCUUCCAGAAAGAAAUCCAGGUCUUCCAGAAAAAUCUACGUCUUCCAACCAAUCUCUCUUCCACCAAAUCAAGUCUUCCAAUCAACCCGUGUCUUCCUGAUAAAAUGUCUG
rnacentral:lncRNA from 1 species